GUCUGGGGGCCACUGGAGCGCACCGGUCCCGUCCGCACUGCAGCCAGCUGGAAGGCGCCCCUCUCUUGCCGGCCGGCUCCCUCCGGCCCCUCCCCGCCCCCCACGGGUGUUUGCCCAGCGGCGAAGCGGGCUCUUCCAGGGUGAGUGAAGCCCAGAAAUGUCCUGCCUGUGUCGGCUGUCUCCUAUCCAAGCACCAUGAAAAAUGCCAGCAGGGCAAGUGCAACCUGUCUGAGGAGGAAACAAAUGACCUCUAAGAUGAAGCUUUUUACCUCUCUUUUAUUUUCUAAGAUGACCUCUCAGAUACUUUGCCAAGACACACAGAACAAAAGGGAGUCACUACAUCUUUAGAAAAUGUAGUGGACUUUCAUAAUUUGGGAAUGAGUUAUAAGACUGACAGCUGGGACAGACAAUUUCAGAAUAGAAUUCUUUAGGGCCUAUACCUUAAAGGAAAAGACAGUCUUCAGGAACUGCCAUUAAGACUAAUCCACGGGUAAGUAAUGGAUUUUCUCAGUAUCUGUAAGCCAUCACUCCAUCUACCCUUAUUGUAACUGUGCUGGGCUCUGUUCACCCACCUCUGGUUAAGGGUCAGUGUUGACUCACUGAGGUUUGGACCAGCUAGGGGAGGCAGAGGCUGUAUAGGUCACAUCACAAGAGGCACCUCUCUUUAAUCAUGGAUGACAAAGACCCUGCCUUCAAUCCUCUAAUUAGUUUGGCUGCUCCUAUUCAUCCUCUGCUUCCUGAGGUCAGUGGAGGGAAGCUGUCCAGUGAGAAGGUGGGCUUCUGAUUGCAUGAAGGAGAAAACAUGAAGGAGCCACUGGUUCGAAGGGCCUUAGGACCACUGAUUAUGAGAAGAAAGACUCAGCCCAUCCUGGCCUGUCCUCUCUUCGUCAUCCCUCAUGUCUAGAGCUAUUACCAAAUGUUUUCAUUCAUGGAAUAACUUGCUGCUCUGGGCCACCAGUAUUAGCAAAUAUAUGGGCUCCAAUUGACUUAAAAUAGUAUGUUAAAUUACAAGUUACAACACAACUUUGAUCUAGAUUGUAACUCGAGAGAAUUAUUAAUGUUUUGAUAGGAUCUGGGGCUCAUGCAUAAGAAAUGUUCAUUCUGGUCAGCGAUUUGUGGUCCAAUUUGCUUCCAAACCCCGGUAUGAAUGAGUGCAUCAAUCCCUCAGUGGUGACCAGCCUUCAUCGUGCUGCAACUUGCAUGAUAUAGGUGGUUAAGCUUUAAAAACUAGAAACUCUGACAGCUUAUAAACUAGCAAGUUAAUGCAGAGUAGGAAAAACUCUCUUGUUUUGGGAAAGUGGGGUUUUCAGGGAAGGAAGUGGCUAUUUUGAUCUUCCCUUGUCCCUUGUAUCACGUCUCCAAACCACUGUUGUUUUCUAAAUCUGUGCAAAUAUGGAGAAGUAUGUAAAAGUAAACAACCUUUGUAGUCAAUUGGGAUCCUAGCUCCUGCCCUAGACUGAGACUAGGAUGAGGCUACUCCCUGCAGAGGAGGUCUCUGACUCUCUGAUUCUUAAUAUCCAAGAGGUCAGGGUAAGUCCUGUAGUUCUAGGACCCAUGCCCUCUACCACAAUCAGCCCAUGGGUUCCUCAUGGAAUGAAUUGGGCCAGGCACAGAAGCUCACACUUGUAAUCCUAGCACUUUGGGAGGGCAGGAGGAUUGCUUCAGCCUAGGAGCUUGAGAAUAGCCUGGACAACAGCAAAAAAUCAAAACAGCCAGGCAUGGUGGUGUGCACCUACCCUUCAAGGUUGUAGUGAGCAAUGAUUGUGCCAUUGCACACCAGCCUGGGUGACAGAGCAAGGCCCUGUGUCUAAAAAAAGAAUGAACUGCUGUAAAACAUAAAAGAAGGCUAUUCUUCUCACUAAAUAUUACUAAUCACCACUGGGACUAAAACUCUGGAUCUUUUUUUUUUAAGUCAGCAUCUUGCUCUGUCACUCAUGUUGGAGUGCAGUGGCACAUUCAUAGCUCACUGCAAGCUCGAAUUCCCAGGCUGAAGCCAUUCUCCUGCCUCAGCCUCUGGGGUAGUUGGGUCUUCAGGCAUGCACCACCAUACCUGGCUAAUUUUUAAAAAAAAAUUUUUAGUAGAGAUGAGUUGUUGCUUUGUUGCCCAGGCUGGUCUUGAACUCCUGGGCUCAAGCGAUCCUGCCACCUUGGCCUCCCAAAGUGUUAGGAUUACAGUGGUGAGCCAUUGUGCCUGGCCAAAAUCUGGAUCUUAAUAGAUGAAACUUGUUCUUUCCCAACGGGUACUUUCACACCAAUUAACGUACUCACAUCAACUCAUGGAUGAAAGGAUUCUUAGCAGAAAGGGACAUUAGGGAGGUAAAUUUGGAAUAGAAAACAGAAGCCGAUGAUGGCUUAUUCUUCAGGCGAGGGCUUUAUCAUUGCAUAACAACUCAGGAUUGGUAAGGGUCCUACCAAAAGGAGAAUGCGGACUGUUAAAAGCCUCUCUCACCUCUGGACUACACAUGCUACAGUGGCAAGAAGCAUCUGUGUUUUAGUUAUCACUGGAUCCUCAGAAUCUAGUGUAUGGCCUUGCAUAAUGUGCCAUACAGAAGUUUUUGUUGAGUUGUUGAAUUCCUAAUUUUAAUAAGGCCUUAGAGAUUAGGUAAGGGGUUUCUUUCUUCUGUCUUCCACUAGGGGAUGAGGUCAUUGAAACACAAGACCUGGGUGAAGAAUAGAUAGUGAUACUUGCCUCCAGAGAAUCACUGAGGGGCUUUCACAGCAUUCAAGGAGGACUUGCAACAUCUAUCUCAGCUGAGGGAAGACUGGAGUCUUGCCUGUAGGCUCCUGUGAGUCAAAUGCAGAUACUCUUCUCCCUCCCAUGCUUGAGGUCAAGACCUGUGCUAAACAUCAAUUGAGUCCCUUUCUCCUUACCUGAAUGCCCUCUCUUUCAGGGUUGGGGACUUCUGGGACAAAAGAGUUGAGUUCCUAGUUGAAGUGCAAGCUCCAGGGAAGUUGCCCAGGCCUGUCCCUUACUUGGUAGGGCCAAUGGCUUUCAGUAGAGUAUAGGGGAGAUAGACUUUACCCAGAUCUCCCAAGGGAAGUCUUUACAUAUGUGGAAAAGUCUAAGAGGAACUCUGCUAACUUCAGAAAAAGAAGAAUUUACCGAAGUUAGGAAAAGCAUAUAGUAGAAAUGCCAUCCCACAUCAUGCCUCAUGAGAAGAUGUUCCCAAGUCAUUUUUCUGAUGCUUCCCUGGGCCAGAGGUAUAAUAGUUAAAAUAAUAAUACAAAAUAAAAGUAAUAGACAUUUGGUAUGUGCCAGGCAUGGAGCCGUGCCAGGCAUGGAGCCAAACCUUGCAAAUACCGACUCAAUUAAUCAUAAUAACUUUUUGAGGUAGGUACCCAUUUUAAAUGUUAAGAAGCUGAGGCUUAGAGACUUUAAAUAACGUAUCAAAAGUCACAUAACCAACCAAAUAUAAGAGCCAAGAUUUAAAUGCAGGAGUGUUUGGCUGCAAAGCCUGAACUAUUCAGUUAUACUGUACUCAGGAUGGCAUCCAGCCCAUCGGAGAGGCCUAUGCCUACUUCUAUUACUCAGUGGGAUGGGAAAGAGAAGAAGGCAUGAUUAAAAAAAAAAUUUUAAUAUCUGCCUUUGUGCACACACAUAUACACAAAUACAUGUGUCACUUAUGUAUCUAGAGGGCUUUAGGAUAAACCACCUCACUUCUGAUUUCAUUGUCAAAAUAACCUUGUGGGGUAGCUGUUCUAAUGUGAAUACUCCCAGUGUUUAGGUACGGUAAGUAGUUCAAAAACAGCUGAAUAAUUUUCCCAAGAACAUACAUCCACGUGGUUGCUUGAACCUGUCUGGUUUGAUGCCAAAUUCAUAACUCUUUCACUAUAACAUAGUGCUACAACAAUGAGAUCUACUCUGAGUCAGCUAACAUUUAUUAAACACCCACCAUGGGUCAAGCACUGUGCUAGGCUCAUUUGUAAACAGUCAAUAAUUACUCACUGACUGGUCUUCCAGGCCACUAACCGACUGUCACUGCAGCAGCCUCCAAGUCUAGUAAUGGUUUUAUAAAAGAAUAAACAAGAAUAGUUCUUUUUUUUUUUUCUAGGUACUCUCAGUAGCCUAGACCGAGGAAUGGACUGUCUGCGUCUGUGUCCUUCCAGUCCACAUGCCUAGCAGUGCCUACCAGCAACCAAAAAAAACCCAAAAGCCUUCCAUCAGAAUGCUGGGUCACAACUCCUUAAUGGCUUGAGAUCCACAACUGGAGAAGCUGUGAUCUGGUAGACUUGCCAGGGAUCAAUGUGAUGAAGACUGAGCCAUCUCUGGAGGUGACAAGAUAGGAUCACUCUGCUGCUCUGGAGAGAAGUGACCAAAGAGGGCUAGAAGGAAGCAAUGGGCUGAUAGGGAGGCCAUCCCAGCAGUCCAGACAAGAGAUGAUGGCGGCUCGGAAUAGGCUGACAGCGAUGGAGGCGAUAUCAAAAGCGGGGCACCUCUUGGCCAAGAUGCUGUAUUAGUCCAUUCUCACUGCACUACGAAGAAAUACGCAAGACUUGGUAAUUGAUAAAGAAAAGAGGUUUAAUUGACUCCCAGUUCUGCAGGGCUGGGGUGACCUCAAGAAACUUACAACCAUGGCUGAAGGGGAAGCAGACAUGUCCCUCACAUGGCAGCAACAGGAAGCUCAACUCAAAGGUGGGGAAAGCUCCUUAUAAAACCAUCAAAUAUCCUGAGAACUCACUCUCUUGAGAACAGCACGGAGGCUCUGCUUUCUUCCUGGCAGGCUCCAUUCCCAGAUGGACCCCUUCUGUCUGAUUGUAAGAUGGCUGCAGGACUUCCAAUCUUACACCAUCCUGGAUUCAAGUCCAUUAGGAGAGUCUGUGCCUCUCCCAGCAUCCCUGGCAACAAUUUCAUUGGACAUGGGUCUCUCCUGAACCAGUUGUGGUGGUCAGUGGACUGUGGUGCUCUGUGAACUUACUCCUACCCAAAGUAAGGGACUGAGAGAUUGAGAGGAAGUGGUUUCCAGAGAACAUCCAGAGGUGGUGAAGAGAGGAAAGGUGCAUGGAAGAUGAGGGACAAAAACAGCAGAUGCCUAAUUCACUGACAAGUCUGUAUUAGUCAACUGUUGCUACAGUAAUGCUAUGUAACAAAUUGCCCCAGGACUUAGUGACUUACAAUAAUAAGCAUUAAUUAUUUUCCCACUAAUGGGUUUGUGGUGGUGGUUUGGGCAUCUCUGCUUCGGGAGGCAUGUUAGCUAAACUUGGUCCCAGGAUGUGGGCUGGGUUCAGGUCUAGUUCAUAUUCUCUCAUCCGCCUUAACACUGAGGCCACCUGGAGAUGGCAUGAAAGGCAAGAGCACACGGGAGGGAGCAGAAACACACCAGAUCUGGCUUUAUUCACAAUUGUCCAUAUGGACAUGCAAAAAAAUGUUUUGCUGAGUAAAUCGCAUAUCAAGUUCUUUCUUCCUCCCUAAUUUCCCCCAAACUGACUGUAACCUUUGGGCUUCCUCCCUGCACCAGCUAUCUGUGAUUCACUUCUCUUUGAAGCUGUGCGGGCUGGUUCAAGAGCUAUGGUUGGCAGGUGUUGAUAAGAAGUGAAUGUCUACCUGUCUGGAAUGUAUUGGAAGGCAUUCUCGCUGUAUAUGGGAGAUUGGAUCAGAUGAGAUUAUUUCUUGAGCUCCUUCCCACUCUAAGAUGCUCUGAGUCUGGAUAUCCUAUGCCAAAUUCUGACCCCAUGUAUUUUUUUUUUAAAGAUAUGGAGUCUUGCUCUGUCACUCAGGCUGCGGUGGAGUGGCAUGAUCACAGCUCACUGCAGCCUUCUACCCCUGGCCCCAAGCAAUCCUCCUGCCUUGGUCUCCCAAAGUGCUUGGAUUACAGGAAUGAGCCAGCAUGCCCAUCCCAUAUGUAGUUAUAUUUUAGUAUACAGGGUUUUACCUGUGAAUCUUUAGUCUCUUUGCCCUCAAUUACCUUGAUCUAUGAUAAAACAUGGCAUGAGACCAGUAAGCACGUAUGCUCAGAAGACCACUGUUCUAGGCUCCCUGGGGGAACCUAGAGGAGUAGGAAUUAGAAGGCUAAUUUCUUUUUCCUUUUCUUAGAGACAGGGUCUUGCUGUGUCACCUAGACUGGAAUGCAGUGAUGUGAUCAUAGCUCACUGCAGCCUUGAGCUCCUGGGCUGAAGCCAUCCUCUCAUCUCAGCCUUCUGAGUAGCUAGACCUACAGGCAUGUGCCACCACAGCUGGCUGAUUUUUAAUUUUUUUGUAGAGACAGAGGUCUUGCUUUGUUGCCCAGGCUGUUUUUGAACUUCUGGCCUCAGGUGAUCUUCCUGCUUCUGCCAUCCAAAGCUCUGGGAUUACAAGUGGGAGCCACCAUGCCCAGUCCCACGUUUCUUUGUAAUACUUGCCUGUGGAUAACUUCAGGUGGAAAAGCCGUCCUGGAAACAUUGGUCUUCCCCAUCUUUUCUGUUUUUUUUUUUUUGUUGUUGUUAAAUGGAUCUCCAAAGCCAGAAAGAAUAUCUUUAUAUUCUCUAUUCCAUUGGCUCAAAGCCGUCAACAUCAGGACGCUCUGCUUCGUGUCUAACUUGACGCUUCAUGACCACUGUAAAAGGCCUCCUUUCUCCUUUCUCAUUUUUACAUCUUUUCGUAUGUUGGAAUCCAUCUCUAAUGUUGGUGUUGUGAAGACCUGUUCAUUUUAUGGUUCCAGAAGAAAGAACCGGUAUUGUUUUUCUUAAUUUCACAUCAACAGACAAUUACUGAAUGCAUGUGACAGUCCCCAUAAGUACUUGAGUGUUAUGAGCAUCACCUUUGAGCCAGACUGUCUGGGUUCCAGUUCUGGCUCUGCUGCUUACUAGGUAUGUGACCUUGAACAACCUAUUUAGCAUCUCUUGUCCAUCUUCCCCUUGUCUAUGAAAGGUGGUUAUAAUAGGACCUCUCUCAUAGUGCUCUCUUAAGGGAUAAAUGAGUUGAUGCUUAUAAAGUGCUUAGAAUAGUGUCUGGCACAUAGGUGCUCAAUAAAUGUUGGCUAUUAUUAUCCUUACUUUGAGAUGAAAGAUAACCACUGUCCUCAAACAACUCAGAUUCCAGUUAGGAAAAUGGCACUGGCCAAACAGGGAUGUAACUGCUCUCUUGUUUAGGAUGACAGGUGGAUGUUGGGGGGUACAGGAACACAGCGAGAGGAAGUUACAAGAAGGUAGAUUUUUUAUUUACAGCCAUAUCUUCCUGAGAAUUAGCAUUUAUCAGCCAGGCGUGGUAGCUAAUGCCUGUAAUCCCAGCACUUUGGGAGGCUGAAGCAGGCAGAUCAUUUGAGCUCAGGAGUUUGAGACCAGUGCGGGCAACAUGACAAAACCUUGUCUCUACAAAAAAUGCAAAAAUUCGCUGGGUGUGGUGGCAACUACCUAUGGUCCCAGCUACUUGGGAGGCUGAGGUGGGAGGAUGGCUUGAGCCCAGCAGGAUGUUGAGGCUGCAGUGAGCUGUGAUCACACCACUGCACUCCAGCCUAGGUGACAGAGUAAGACCCUGUCUUUAAAAAAGUAGAAUUUGUCACAAUAUCAGUAAGAAAUGAGCUCCUCUGUCAUCAGAAGGAUUCGGGCAAAUGCCAACCACUCACACAUCCAGAAGAACAGAGUUUAUAAAUAGGUGGUCUAUGAGUUUGUUCUCACCUACAAAGGUGUUUGGUUUGGACAGCAGUGUAUUUUUUAAAAGAUUUUAAUGAGUUGCCAACAGAUUACAUUUCUUGCUUUCAAAUUCUAGAUUUUGGGCUUGUUUGUUUUUGCAGAAUUUGAAGAUGUGGCCACACUGAACCUACAGUCUUGUGUAUCAAUAGCGGAGCUGAUCUGUGGCUGCUCUUUUAAGAGAGAAUUUGUUUUACAUGUAGCUAUGUCUUACGCCCUCUCCUAGGGUCUCUUCUCUCUUUUCUGGGACUCACCUGGCACCUCUGUGUUUGAACAGUGGCUGGGAGGCUUGAUCAGAUGAUGUCAUUUCUAGGGUAACCUGAUCCAAGUUAAUGCCUUCCUUAUUCUGAGAGCCUGGACUUGUGUUAUGGGAUAGAGAUCUGACCCCCGGCACAGAGCUGUUCACUAAACAGGUCCUCCACACCUCCUCCUUGCAAAGUCUUCUGAUUCAUACUAGAAACUCUAGAAUACUAAGCUGGGCUUUAAGUGGUUUUAUAUAUAUAUGUGUGUGUAUAUAUAUAUACACACACAGACACAAACACAUGUGUGUGUUAAAUAUACAUAACAAUAUCUAUCAUUUUUAAAUGUACAGUCCAGUGGUAUUAAGUACAUUCACGAUACUGCACAGCAGUCACCACUGUCUGUUUCCAGAACUCUUCAUCCCAAACAAACUCUCCGCAUUAAACAAUAAUUCUCCAUUUCCGCUUCCUCUCUGCCCCUGGUGGCCCCCAUUCUAUUUUCUGUUUCUAUGAAUUUGCCUAUUCUAGGAAACUCAUCUAAGAAGAAUCACAGAAUAUUUGUCCUUUCAUGUCUGAUUUAUUUUGUUUAGCAUGAUUUCUUCAGGAUUCAUCCGUGCUCUAGUAUAUGUCAGAAUUUCCUUCCUGUUUAAGGCUAAUAUUUCACUGAAUGGAUAUACCAUAUUUUAGCUUAUCCAUACAUCUCACCAUGAAUACUUGAGUUGCUUCCACUGUUUGGCUAUUGCGAAAAAUGCUGCUAUGAACGUGAAUGAAUAUGAAUCCUGCCUUCGAUUCUUUGCGGGCAUAUAUCUCCUGUUAUAUUUUAAUUAAAAUUAAGAAAUUUUCAUCUCUUUCUUCUUCGAGCUCCAUAAGGCAAUAAAAAGCACCUGGCACUUCCAUUUUAUAGAUGCGGAAACUGAAUAGUGGCUCUGGGAAGGAAACUGGAGCUGGAAGCCAGGUCCUUGGCGCAUGGUCUUUCACACCAGGCUGUUAGUCCAGGGUCACGACAAGGGUUAUGCCUAUUGCUGUCACUGAUGCAUCUCCAAGGACAAGUGACUCGAAUGCUGUUGAUAUGUUUUGAAAGAAUAAGUGAAUAUUUUGUGCUUUAUGUUCUAACAGAGCCUUUUGAAGAAACUACUGGUGUCUGUAUUCCUCUCCUUUUCCACAUCCCCUUUCUGUAUUUAUGAGACACCCCCACCCAUGGGAUUUGGGCAGACAAGCUGAUCCUGAUCCUCGUCUUCAGUGGUAACAACUUCAGGCCUGAGAAAGGUCUCUUUCCAAAGUUCUUCUGUUCACAGUCCCAGGAGUAACAUCUUAUUCCCCAUCUAGUGUACGCUUUCAUUCAGGCUUCACCCCGGAGCUCAGAGCAAUUCAGGGGAUCACCUGGCUCCUGGCUGGUGUAAGAGAUCUACUGGGGGGUGCCUCUGGCAUGGGGGGGUAUUUGAGUGUCUUUAGCCAGAUUUUGUCCAUAAAUGUCUAGUGUGCUGCUUGGUUGCUGUCCCCUUAUCCCACAGUGCUGUGGUGUGGGGGAUUGGGAGCCUCAACUCAAAUUCCCUUUUGUUUCAAAAUGGAGAAAAUGUAAUUUUAAUGGAGUGGUGGAAAUGCUGCCCUUGGUAAGCUGCGCUGCUGACUUAACAUCUGGUUUAGAGGAUGGGGGCUUCUAAAAGGAGCCCCUGCCCUCUUUUCCUUGGAGGAGCCUCGCUUUGGCUCUCAGAGGAGGUAAGGGGUGUGGCUUAAAUCAUCAGGGGUCCUUUGUCCACUGCUUUGUGCCUACAGAACAACAAAAGCUGUCAAUGAUGGCACAAAGAUGGAACGCAGAAGACACUGUGACUGUCUCAUGGGGAGAGUCUGUGUAAGAAAGAAGGCAAGUGGUGGUGAGAAGUAUACCCAAGGUAUUCGUCUCAUUCUGCUCCCCCAGAGCAGUCUGGCUGUAGUUCAGCUUCACCAGGGAAAUGUCUUUGGCUCUGGUUUAGGAAGGAAGUGCUGAGACAAAAGGUUUGAGGGUGGUGAGGUGGGGUGGAGGUGAGUGUAUGCAGGUCUGGCAAAAAUAGAGAACUAAAUCCAUCUAUCUAUAGCCUGACUGAAGACAAACCAUCCCUCUCUCCUCUGAAAGUGAGCAGGGGAAGAGGACGAGGAGAGAGGCAGAGUGCAGGAGGUGGCUUCCCGCGGGCAGCAGAGGGUUAACCCCAUGGGCGCCCAAGGACGUCAGAGCUGGUUCUUGUCUGUGGCUUGGAUUGAGAGCUUUUAUCCCUUGUUCUUUUUCCUGAUGUCUUUGCUUUUUAUUGUGUUUGGAUUUCAGGAUUUGGCUUGUUCUUUUUAAUGUUUAAUAUAGUUAGAGGGGAGAAAAAAAUCCAUCUGAGAGAAAGCAUAGGAAACCAAACAGGCCUGAAGGUGGGGUGUUGGGAAGGGGCCCUGGGCAUCCCUUGUUCAGCUGAAGAGCAGGGCAGCCACACUUACCUGGCGCCCUCCCAUCCUACAUUCUCCUGAGCCCUGAACAUUGCAACCUGGGCAAUGGGGCUUCCUGCUUUGGAGACCUGUUCUCACCCACUAGUCUGCGAUGGAAACCAUCACCAAUGGGUGCUCCUCUGAGACACACUGUUCUCCUGUACAACAGUGUGAGCCUCUGCUGGGCUGGGAGGCAAGGAGAUCCCAGUCGCUGCAUUCCUUCCUCCACUGCUGACCCACUGGGGAAGGGCAGAAAGGAGGAGGGUGCAGUCUCUCUGAAAGUGAGAAAAAAGAUGUGGAGCAGCCAAUGAGAAAGACAGAUCAGGUUCGAGAAAUGAGGGAAGAAGUAGUAUGGGGUAUUCAGCAACAAUGGAGAACUUCUUAGCCAUUUAUAAGAUAUUUAUAACAGGAAAUGUUAGAACUUGAAGAGGGAGGGCACAUUCAGCCUAUGGCCAUAUGGGUAAGAAUGUUCCAUAACCAGUAGGCUCCACAUCACAGUGGUUGAUCUGAAGCAGAAAGCACUGAGCACUAAGGUCAGGUGAGAGAAAGGUGAGAAGGUGCCUGAGUAUGGUGUCAGGGAUCCGGGAAAUGAGGAAACAGAGCUCACUGAACCCUAGAAUCCCAGAGAUGGAGAAAUACAUGAGGGUAUCUAUUCCUGCAUGAGGGGGCCUGCUCCUCAGAGCAAGAGCAAGAAUUGAGUGGGCUUGCUUCUCCAAGAGGCAAGAUCAUGUGGAAUUGCAUAGUUUGGGUCCUAGGGAGAUGCCUCCGAAAUGGAGGGUAUUUAACCUCCCAAUGGAACCUUAGAGCUUGGAGGCCCUGGGAAGCUGCAGCAAUUGCAGGGGGUGAGUUGGAGGCUUGAAGGCAAGACCAAAUAGCAUUUGCAUCUCUCUUACUUUUGUAUGGAGUAACUCUGACAGAGAAAGCAAACCAUGGAGAGUGGUCAGCUAGUGUUAAAGGUCAGAGCUAGUAUAUUUAGAAAAACCUAAAAACUCCACCAAAAAAUUGUUAGAACAGAUAAAUUCAGUAAUGUUACAAGAUGCAAAAUUAACAUACAAAAAGCAGGGGCAUUUCUAUAUGCCAACAGUGAAAAAUCUGAAAAAGAAAGAAAGUAAUUCCAUUUACAACAGCUACAAAUAAAAUAAAAUAUCUAGGAAUAAACUUAACGAGAGAAGUGAAAGAUCUCUACAAUGAAAGCUAUAAGACAUUGAUGAAAGAAAUUGAAUAGGACACACAAAAAAGGAAAGAUAUUCCAUAUUCAUGGACUGGGAGAAUCGAAAUUGGUGAAAUAUCUAUACUACUCAAAGCAAGGUAAUGAUUUAUUGCAAUCCUAUCAAAAUAUCUGUGACAUUUUUCAAAGAAAUAGAACAAAUAAUCCUAAAAUUUAUAUGGAGCAACAAAAGACCCAGAAGAGCCAGAGCCAUCUUGAACAAAAAAGAACAAACCUGGAAGAAUCACAUUAUCUGACUUAAAAUUAUGCUACAAAGCUAAAGUAAUCAAAACAGCAUGAUACUGGCAUAAAAACAGAAACAUAGGGCUGAGUGUGGUAGCUCAUGCCUGUAAUCCCAGCACUUUGGGAGGCUGAGGCAGUCAGAUCACUGGAGGCCAGAAGUUCAAGACCAGCCUGGCCAACAUGGUAAAACUCCAUCUCCACUAAAAAAAAAAAAAAAAAGCCAGAUGUGGUGGUGCAUGCCUGUAAUUCCAGCUACUUGGGAGGCUGAGGCAAGAGAAUGGCUUGAACCUGGGAGGUGGAGGCUGCAGUGAGCCGAGAUUGUGCCACUGCACUCCAGCCUGGGCAACAGAGCAAGACUGUCUCAAACAAAACAAAGCAAAACAAUACAAAAAAACCAGACAUGUAGAACAACGGAACAGAAUAGAGAACCCAAAAAUGAUUCUACACAUUUACUAUCAACUCAUUUUUGACAAAGGUGCCAAAAACACACAUCGAUAGAAAGACAGUCUCUUUAAUAAGAAAACUGGAAAUCCACAUUCAGAAGAAAUAAACUAGACCCCUAUCUUCCACUAUAAGAAUCAAAUUAAAAUGGAUUAAAGACUUAAAUAUAAGGCCUGAAACUGUGAAACUACUAGAAAAAAACAUUGGGGAAACACUCCAGAACACUGGUUUUGGCAAAGAUUUCUUCAGUAAGACUUCAGAAGCACAGGCAAGUGAAGCAAAGAUGGACAGAUGGGAUCACAUCGAGCUAAAAAGCUUCACAGCAGUGGAAACAAUCAACAACAACUAUCAACGGAGGAGAGAGCCUACAGAAUGGGAGAAAGUAUUUGCAAACUAUCCAUCUGACAAGGGAUUAAUAACCAGAGUAUCUAAGGAGCUCAAGGAACUCAGUAGGAAAAAAACAAAUGAUCUGAUUUUUAAAAUGGGCAAGUUUUGAAUGGACAUUUAUCAAAAGAAGACACAAAUGGCCAAUAGGUAUUUGAAAAAAUGCUCAAAAUCACUAAUUAUCAGGGGAUUACAAACCAAAACUACAAUGAGAUACAUAAUUUCACCCCAGUUAAAAUGGCUCCUACCCAAAAGACAGGCAAUAAUGAAUGUUGGUGAGGAUGGAGAGAAAGGGAAACCCUUGUACACUGUUGGUGGGAAUGUAAAUUAGUACAGCCACUAUGGAGAACAGUAUGGACUUUCCUCAGAAAGCUAAAAAUAGAGCUACCAUAUGAACCAGGAAUGCAAUUGCUGGGCACAUAUCCAAAAAAUAGGAAAUCAGUAUAUAGAUGAGAUAUCUGCAUGCCUGUGUUUUUGCAGCCACUGUUCACAAUAGCCAAGAUAUGGAAGCAACCUAAGUGUCCAUCAACAGAUGAAUGGAUAAAGAAAAUGUGGAACAUAUAAACAUUGAAAUAGUGCCCAGCCAUAAAAAGAAUGAAAUCCUGUCAUUUGCGACAACAUGGAUGGAACUGGAACACAUUAAGUGAGAAGCCGGGCACAGAAAAACAAGUAUCACAUGUUCUCACUUAUAUGUGGGAGAUGAAAAAAAAAUUAAACUCAUGGAGAUAGAAUGGAACGAUGGUUGCCCAGAGGCUGGGAAGGGUAGCAGUGAAUAGGUGAUAAAGUGGGGGUGGCUUAUGGGUACAAAAAUACAGUUAGAUAGAAUGAAUACCAUCUAGUAUUUGGAAGCACCAUAAGAUAAUUAAAGUCAGCAAUAAUUUAUUGUAUUUUUAAAAUUACCCAACAGAGUGGAAUUGGAAUAUUCCCAACACAAAGAAGUAAUAAGGGCUUGGGGUGAUGAAUACUGCAUUUACCCUAAUUCCGUCAUUAAAUGUCGUAUUCAUGUAUUACAUGUACCCCAUAAAUAUAUUCACCUAUUAUGUACCUAUAAUAAUUUUUAAAAAUCAGAGCUGGGUCUUCUGAACUAACACUUCCAUGAUAACAAAUGAACUUUCUACCAGGAAAAGAGUACAUCUUGAGGGGGAGGUGGGGAUAGUUCAUGGCUACCAAAAAACUAGAAAGAAUGAAUACGAUCUACUGUUUGAUGGCACGAUGGGAUGACUGUAGUCAAUAAUAACUUAAUUGUAUAUUUAAAAAUAAUGCAAAGAAUGUAAUUGGAUUGUUUGUAACUCAAAGGAUAAAUGUUUGAGGGGACAGAUGGAUAUCCCAUUCUCCAGGAUGUGCUUAUUUCACAUUGCAUGCCUGUAUCAAAACAUCUCAUGUACCCCAUAAAUAAGUACACCUACUAUGUACCCACAAAAUAAAAAUAAAAAUAAUAAUAGUAAUACAUCUUUUUUAAAAGUAUACAUCUGAAGGGGAACAUGGCGAUGGUGCUUGGCAGGAAAAUCUUUCACCUGAUCAAUAUAAUUAAAAACUGAAAUUUGAGAGAAAGCGGAAACGAUGAAUAUCCAUCUUCCAUGAAAAUUGGAUAUUGUUGAAAACAAGCCUGGCAUCCCUGAAAAAUAGAAGCAGCAAAGUUCCCAAUUAAUAACAGUAUUUCUGUGGUCUUAGUGUGGGGCUGGGACCUUUGCUUUCUCCUCUAGGUCUUUGGUCCAUCUACUCACUGGUCUGGCCCAGGCCCUGGAGGCUGAUCUUUAUGGAUCCCUCAGAGGGGCUCUCAGGCCUUCUGGCUUUGAUGCGGUUCAGCCAAUCAGAGUCAACCAGCAGAAGACUGGAAAGUGGGAAGACAGUGAAAUCAGGAUAUCUAUUUUCUGGCUCCCUCCCAGCUGGGUCUCCUUAUGCUGACUCCAUUCCUCUUCAGAGACCACAGCUCCUGUCAUGUUGGGCUCUGCUGUGGCAACUCUUCUCAGUCUAGCAUCUACCCUUCUUCUUCCACCUUCGGGUCUUGGCAUAGUAACAGAUCCCACUGUUGCUAGCUCCAUCCCUUGCUGAUUUCUCUUACCCCUGACCACACAACUUAACCAGUUCCUUUAUUAACUCUCCUCACUUACCCCAUCUAAGAGUGCCAUCUGCUUCCCCCUGGACCCUGACCAAUACAAUGAUCUAAUAAAUGAUAUAAAGUUGAAAUUGCAACAUGAGGCUGGUAGGAGUGCAAAGUCAUCACCAAGACUUGGUUGGAUGAGACUUGACAAGAAUUCCAUGGUGGUAAGAAUUCCCUUCAUGCAAAUAAACUGAUGUCAUUGCAGUGGGUCAAAGAGUAGAACUCAGUUCAUUCAUUUACUUAAAGAAAUAUUGUCUCUCCUGUAUGCCAUGCACACUACAGUAGGGACUGGGGAGUCACUGGGGGGCAGAAUGAAAAAGGGUCCAACCCUUAUUGUAUUUCCAGUCUGGUAAGAGAGAAAGACAUUAAUCACAUGAUCACCAAUAUAAAUAUAUAGGUAGAAACUGACAAAUCCUUGGUGAAAUAACAAGUUUCUUUGAGAGCAUCUAAUAAGAGGCUAAUACAAGAUCAGAGGAAGCUGCUUUAAGAAACUGACAGUUGAGCUUAGCUAGGCAGAGGGCAAGGGAGGUGGAGCAAAGGUCUUGUAAGCAGAGGGAUGAUCACAUCCAAAUUCUGAGGCGGGGAGGGUCUUACAGGCAUCCAGUGAAUCUGGAGAGGCUUCUACAAGUUGAAAUUUAGUUUUAAGUGCAAUAGGGAGGCAUUGCUGGAUUUUGAGCAGGAGAGUAGCAUGAUUUAAUGUACUGAAAGCUGGUGGAGGUACCAUGGGGUGUACUGGUGGGGAAGAAAAGAGAAACAAGGGAUGUUGCUCUUCGAGGUCCUGACCUUUGGCCUGGCUUCUAGUGUUGUGCUGCUGUCCUUUUCAGGAAAUCCUCAAUGUAGCUGAGGGGGAAGAGACCAACUGGGCUGAUGGGCACAGCCAUUAGAUGCUCUGUUCUGUUGUAAGCAUUGUAGUGGAUUUCAUUCUUGGCCUAAUAUGCUUUGACAGAAAGAUGAAAAAGCAGUGCGGGGACGUGUUACUUGAGACACAACUCUGACAAACAAGGAAUAAAUUGGUGAAGUGGAAGUGUCUGGAGGAAAAGGGGAAGUCUUAGGGAGAACGGGACUUGUGAGCUUGUGGUGCACCUGUGCACGCGUGUUUGUGCACGUGUGCAUGUGGGAUGUAUGUGUGAGAGAGAAAGAGUAGAGAAAGAGACAGAAGCAGAGAGAGACAUAGAUAUGCUAGAAAAGCAAAGCUCACAGACUUCAGAAAGAAAAUAGGAGUUACUAGCUUCUGGCUAGUGAUUCAGAGAAACAAAGUGACUUCCAGACACAGGAAUCAUUACUGCAGGAGUUUGCUAGGGCUGCCAUAACAACGUGCCAUAAACUGGGUGGGAAACAAUAUACACUUAUUGACUCACAGUUCUGAAGCCUACACGUCUGAAAACAAGCUGUAGGCAGGGCUGGCUCUUUCUGAGGGCCAGCAGAGCAGGGUCUGUUGAAUGCGUCUCUCCUUGGUGUAUAGAUGGCUGUCUUCUCGCCUUCUUGCUGUGUCUCCCUGUUGUCUUCCCUCUAUGCAUGUCUGUCUCUGUGUCCAAAUUUUCCUUUUUUAAAAACUAAGAACACUAAUCAUAUUGAAUUCGGGCCCAUCCUAAUGACUUCACUUUAACUUGAUUACCUCUGUAGAAAUCCUAUUUCCAAAUAAGGUCACAUUCUGAGUGAGGUCCUGGGGGGGUUAGGACUUGAACUUAUCUGUUUUUAGGAGGCACAAUUCAUCCUAUAACAGCUAGCAAAUGAAGUCCAAGCAGGACUUAACCUGUUCCUCUGUCAAACGUGCACCAGGUGCCUAUUCUGUACCAGACACACUCUAAGUGUGGCUUGAGCCCUGAAGGAACACUGGACUUGUGGCAGAACAGUGAUAUGCAAAAGCCUGUAAUACAGGUUAACAAGCGCUGUGAUAAGUCUUUCUACCCAUAUGACACACUAAUAUAUGAAAGCUUAAUGUAAUUUUAGAGCUAAGUUUAAGUAUACAAAACAGUGGUGGCACAAAGAAAGGGUGGUCAGAUGACUUCGCUUUCUUCGUUAUCAUAGCUUAAUGAAGUAUCUGAAUCGGAAUCUGGUAAACUGGUAAUAAAAACCAUCUGGGGGAAAAACUGAGUCCGCAGGAUGACAAAGGAGUGACCCAGGCGAAGAAGUGGAAGAGAGCUCCAUGCGGAGGAAAAUCCUUGGAGUGGGCGAAUGUGUCAUGUUCUUGUGGGUAAAGAGCUUCAGGGUCAGUGCAGAGAGAUGAGGUUAAGGAAGCCAGAUCAUGAAGCACCUUGUGUCUAGGACUCGGGAUGUGAACUUUAUCCUGGAAGCCUUGCCAGAUGUGUGUGGGGCAAGGUUUGUGUGUGUUGGGUAGGGUUUGUGUGUGUUGUCGGGGAGAGGGUGGGGGAUGGAAAUCAUCUAAGUUGUGGGAUAUAAGGAAGGGAGUGAUGUGAUCAGAUCUGACUUCUGUGUGGAGAAUGUAUUGAGGGGGUUGUGAAGGGAGUCAGAGAAGCUAGUGAGUGGGCAGAAGCAGUGUGCAGAGAGAGAGAGAGAGAGAGAGAGAGAGAGACAGAGAGAACAGAGGGCUGGACCAGGACAGUCGAAUAGAGAGUAGAGAAACUAUGGCAGAGUAUUAGUGAUAGAAUUGACAUCUGUUAGUAAUAGUGUAGUUAUGAAGGACAAGGAAAUGGGAAACUUAGGAUGAUUCCUGGCUAUCUGGUUUGAGGGUCUAUGUGGACAGUGGUGCCAUUCACAAGAAAAGUAAGGAAAAAGAGUAGAUAUUGGGGGAAGAGGAAUUCUGAUAUGGACAUGUUGAGAUUGAGAUGCCUGUGGGAGAUCUAGGUAGAAAUACAUGUCAAACGUUAUUGGGCUUAAAGUAGAAAGCUGUUAGAUAUACAGUCUUGAAGUCAGGGUGGAGAUUCGGUUCAAGAUGUAUACCUGCGAGUUGUCAGUAGCUGAAGUCAUGGACUUGGAUGAUGUUACCUAGGGCGAACCAUUAGAGUGGAAAAACCAUGUAGGGCUCAGAAAGAAAGCCUUGAAAGUAAGUGCAUUCCUUAAGGAAAACAGGUAGGAUAAGGAGACUUCAAAGGAUAUAGAGCUGGGAUAACACAUCUUUUGGCUUCCUGGGGCAUAUUGGAAGAAUAAUUGUCUCAGUUCACACAUAAAACACUAACACUAAUGAUAGCUGAUGACCUAAAAAAAAAAACCCAAAACCCCUCAAAAUCUCAUAAUGUUUUUAGAAAUGUGUUGGGAUGCAUUCAAAGCCAUCCUGGGCUGCAUGAUGCCAAUAGGCUAUGGGUUGGACAGAGACUAACCAGAUGCUUCUGGAGAAUGGUCUGGGAAUGUGUUGUCAUGAUGGUUAUGGAGGAGAGAGGCAAUGCUGUCCAAUGCCCCUAAGAGAUCAGGUAAGGAAAGAGACAAAAAGAAUCUUUUGGCUGGAAGCGGUGGCUCACACCUGUAAUCCCAGCACUUUGGGAGGCCUAGGCAGGCGGAUCACGAGGUCAAGAGAUCUUGAACUCCUGACCUCAGGUGAUCCGCCCACCUUGGCCUCCAAAGUGCUUGAAUUACAGGCAUGAGCCACCACACCCGGCCAAGGUCAAGAGAUCAAGACCAUCCUGGCCAACUCCGUGAUACCCCAUCUCCACUAAAAAUACAAAAGAGUUAGCUGGGCAUGGUGGUAUGCACCUGUAGUCCCAGCUGCUCGGGAGGCUGGGGCAGGAGAAUCACUUGAACCCGGAAGGUGGAGGUUGUAGUGAGCCAAGAUCGUGCCGCUGCACUUCAGCCUGGUGACAGAGUGAGACUGUCUCUAAAAAAAAAAAAAGAUCUUUUAGAUUUGGCCAUAAGGUGGUCAUUGGUUACUUCAGUGAGGUCAAUUUCAGUGGAAGGAGGGCAACAAAGGUUAAAUUGCAUGGACAGAGGAGUGAAUGGAAAGGGAAGAAGUGGAGAUGAAUUGUAUAGAUGAUUCUCAUAGAAAGCUUGGCAGUGACCCUAGCUAGAGGGAAACAAAAAAUUUAGAGUUUUAUUUUUUGUUUUUUGUUUUUGCUUUUGUUUUUGUUUUUCAUGAGAAAGGCUUGGUGGUGUUCUAUAAUGAAUGAACAGAAUAACGAGUGAGAAGUUCAAGAAACGGGAAAAGCGGAAGAUUGUGGAAAUGGAAAAAGAUGGGAUCCACAGAAGAGAUGGAUAGGUUUCUUUUGUACGAUGGGUUAUUCUUGUAGGAAAGACAGAUAAGAGCAGGUAGGGGUGAGUCCAGAGACCUUACUUGGAUAGGCAAAAAGUUGAGAAGUUUCUAAAUAAUCUUGUCUAUGUUUUUUUUCUACUAAAUGUAAGUGCUGAGUUCACCUCUGGAAAGUAAGAUGAGAAAUGUUUGGAUAAUAGAGAAGAAAAUCGAUGGGGAGGAAAAAAACUUGAAAGUGUAUUAGAGUUCAGUUGCAAAUAAGAGUCCAUUCUAGCUAUUAUAGGCAAAAGAGGAUUUAAUACAGUGAAUUGGGUGCUCACAAAAUCAUCGGAAGGGCUAGAAGGCCAAACUCUAAACUGAGACUCUUGGAGUGAAUCCAGGACAUCUCAUCCCUGACCUCCCAGAGGAGUUGCCGCCCCCACCACAGUCAAGACACUGAGGAGUCUGGAAGCCACUACUGCAACUGUUGAAUCUGGAAGCAUUCUCAUUAGCUGUGAUAUGGGAAUCGGGAAGGUGUGACUGCAACUUUUGGAUACAGAGGGAGGGUUUUAAAGUCAAGUCUUUCCAGGUGUUUCUCAUUGGCAGACCUAAGUAACAAUUUAAACUCUAUCUGCAAAGGACUCUGGGAAGUUUUUAGAUUUUUAAAAUCUCUGCAGUACCCGAAUGCACAGUUUUAUUUCCAUACUUAAAUUCUAAUAAAGAAACAACACUCAGUUGUUGCUUCUAAUAUAACUAUCGCUUGAUACAGACACCCUCCCUUCCAUGCAAGCAUGUGUUCAUCCAUUCAUUCACAGUAAGCGCCAGAAGCAGUGUUGAUAUGGAUAGGAAAUACACCAGAUCUUGAAUAGCAGCUGCAGCUGAAAUGACAAUCGAAUUGUUCUUAUAUAAUCUUCCGUCACUCUCUAGGUUCAAGAUCUGCACAAGCCAAAGAGGUAAGUUAAAUGAGAAUAUCAUAGAUAUUACCAGGGAUUUUCUGGUAAACUGGCUCUUAGAAAAUGAAAAAAAUAUAUACCCUGAUGUAUACUGUUUGCCAGUUGCCAUGGUGUAAAUACUCCCUCCAUGGCUGAUGUCAAACUACCAACAUGACAUCACUAAAGAUGAAGUUGUGAGGCAGUGUUAAAAAUCUCAUGAUAACUAUUCUCAUGAAUAAGUGAUAACAACUAUAAAAAUUAUCAUGAGCCUGUAUUAGCUGAUUUCAGCCAACUGGUGGGUCACCAACCUUGCAUUUUUCAAGUCUUCUGUGGUGGCAUUAAUCUCUGUAAUUCUCCUAGAAAUGUGACAUUGGUUCUGAUUUACUGCUUUGUUAGAAAAAAGAUUCACUAGGAGUUUUCACUUGGUCCUUUCUAUCUUGACAGCCUUUAAUCAAUAGGUCAGGAAGUCAAUAUGGAGAACCUGCCUAUUGCUGAGUAUAUAUAUAUAUAUUCCAGGUAUACAUUCGGGACCUAGAGAGAUAACCACAGAUGGGUAUGAAUCUAUCUGGCCCACUAUGAAAUGGUUUGGGCCCAAAUGCCAUUUAUCUCCUUACUCCCAUGAAUUUCCACUCAACCCAUGACCAGGGACUAGCAUUAGCUAAAAGCCAGUAAUAAGCCCUGAAAAGUGUGAUAUUUCUGUUUUCUCAGUGCAAAGUCACUCUACUAAAUGACCACAAUUCCCUUGGGGGAAAAUUGGGAGGAAGAUUUACAAUGUAAACUUCCAGUGUCAUAUGCUACAGAGUACACAGUAUUUCUAGACAUCUGACUUUGGUGUGGGAAUUUGGUGAAAAGUCAUGACCCCCUGAUUCUACAAUCAAAUAGGACCUUAAUUCAAUGCCCUGUAUAUUGUAGUCGUUGGUAUCCAUGGCCAAUUAGCCACCAGCACAGGUCUCUGUGUGUCAGUCUAUUCCGACUACUACUCUGGCCCUGGUGUCUUAAAUGUCCCCUUCACUUGUGGUCCCUGUACGUUACUACAUAGUCAAUGCUCGGAUCUCAUUACCCCCAUUAAACUUCCGGAACACAUGCAAUGGUAGUAUCUCCCUCAUCAUCCCCAGCAUAUAUGCUAUGCUGCCACUGUAGCACCUUUGACGGAGGCUGGUACUCUCCUCAUCAAAGUACUCCCCUCCCAGGGAAUAUACUGCUAUAACGUGUUUUAUUGUGCUUCACUUCAUUACACUUGGCAGACAUUGUGCUUUUACAAAUGGAAUGUUCGUGUCAACCCUGUGUUGAGCGAGUCUGUCAGCAAUAUUUUUCCAACAGCAUGUGCUCACUUCAUGUCUCUGUGUCACAUUUUGGUAAUUCUCCCAUUAUUUCAAACUUUUCUUUAUUGUUAUAUCUGUUAUGGUGAUCUGUGAUCAGAGAGCUUUCAUAUUACUGUUGUAAUUGUUUUGGGGCACCACGAACCGUGCUCAUAUAAGAUGAUGAACUUACUCGAUAAGUGUUGCGUGUGUUCUGAUUGCUUCAUCAAUUGGCCGUCUCUCUCCCUCUCCUGUGGUAUCCCUAUUCCCUGAGACACAGCACAACUGAAAUUAGGCCACUUAAUAAACCUGCAGUGGCCUUUAAGUGUUUGAGUGAAGAACACUUGCAUAUAUCCCUCCCUUUAAAUCAAAAGCUAGAAAUGCUUAAGCAUAGUGAGGAGGGCACGUUGAAGCCAAGACAGGUCAAAAACUAGGCUUCUUGUGCCAGUUAACUGAGUUGUGAAUGUAAAGGAAACAUUUUUAAGGAAAUUUAAAGUCCUAUGCCAGUUAACAAACAUUGGGAAAGUGAAAAAGUCUUAUUGCUGACAUGGAGAAAGUUCUACUGGUCUGCUUAGAAGACAAAACCAGACACCAAAUUCCCUUAAGGCAAAACCUAAUCCUGAGCAAGGCUCUAACUCUCUUCAAUUGUCUAAAGGCAGAGAGAGGUGAGGAAGUUGCAGACAAAAUGUUGGAAGCUAGCUGUGGUUGGUUCAUGAGGUUUAAGGAAAAAAGCUGUCUUCAUAACAUAAAAAUGAAGGGUUGGGCAGCAAGUGAUGAUGCUGAACUGCAGAAGCUCUGAAGCUCUGAAGCCAGGCAUGGACUCCUUCUCUCUAGCUAUGAAACCCUGAUAUGGUUUGGAUUUGUGUCCCUGCCCAAAUCUCAUGUUGAAUUAUAAUCCCCAGUGUUGGAGGAGGGGCCUGGUGGAAGGCGAUUGGAUCAUGGGGAUGGUUUAGAAGCGGCAGCAAGUUAUCCAGAAGAUCUAGCUAAGACCAUCAUGCAUGAAAGUGGCUACACUAAACAGCAGAUUUUCAACAGAGAAGAAGCAGCUUUCCAUUGGAAGAAGAUGCCAUCUAGGGGCUUGUAUUAGUCCGUUCUUGCACUGCUAUAAAGACAUACCUAAAACUGGAUAAUUUGUGAAGAAAAGUUUGAUGUACAUUUCCACAGGCUGUACAGGAAGCAUGGCUGUCAGGAAACUUACAAUUACGGAGGAAGGCCAAGAGGAAGCAGCCACAUCUUACAUGGCAGGAGCAGGAGGAACUUUACAAAGUGGGAGAUGCUGCACACUUCUAAAAGAGCAGAUCUCAGGAGAACUCUGUCACAAGACAGCAUGAGGGGGAUGGUGCUAAACCAUCAGAAACCAUCCCCAUGAUCCAAUCACCUCCCAUCAGGCCCCAUACUGGGGAUUACAAUUUGACAUGAGAUUUGGGCAGGGACACAAAUCCAAACUAUAUCAGGGUUUUACAGCUAGAGAGAAGGAGUCAAUGCCUGGCUUCAGAGCUUCAAAGAACAGGCUGACUCUCUUGUUAGGGGAUAAUGCAGCUGGUGACUUUAAGUUGAAGCCAAUGCUCAUUUACCAUUCCCAAAAUCCUAGGAUUCCCUAAGAAUUAGGCUAACUCCAUCAUCCUAAGAAUAUUAGCAGAGGAACAGAAAACCAAGCACCACAUGUUCUCAUUUAUAAGUGGGAGCUAAACAUGGAGUACACAUAGGCGCAAAGAAGAGAACAAUAGACUCUGGGGCCCACUUGAAGGUGGAGGGUGAGCGGAGGGUGAAGGUUGAAAAACUGCCUAUCUCUGAGGUAUUCCUGUAGUUAAAGCAAGGAUAAGCCAGUCACAUGUGAUCGAUUCAUUGUAUCUAGCUCCCCAGAUCUUUGGAUGUCUUCUACACUAUAUCUAGGAAUAUUUUGGCAUCUCAGUUGCAUUUGACUAUUAUGGAAUCCAGGCUUCAGUUUAUCUGCUAAAGUAACCAUAGAACUUGUAUUAGAUUAUUGAGUGUGUACAUCAGCUCCAGAAUCUCUGGUAAGCACAACCAUACUGAUAAAUUUAGCCAGAAUUAAAAUUAUGCACUUCUCCCCUUCCCAAGCAUGGUUGGAACAUAUUCCUAUGUCUAUUCUCCAGGUUUUAAAUUGAGAUACAAAUUUGCAUGUUUUGACAUAUAAGCAUUGCCUGGGUAUAACUUUACAAAUGGUUCCCUGGGCACAGAGAGUGUUUCUAGUCACGGAUCUGGAGGAUGUGUUGUCGGGAUCCGGCAUGUCUGCCAGGGGACUACCAACCUGCAGGAGUCCCCAAGACCGCCAACGUAGAUGUCUUGUUCAACCUGAGGGAGAGAGUGCGCGAAAGUGAAAGAAAAUAGAAAAGCGGAGUCUGGAGGGCUGGCUUAGGCUAUGUCCAAGCAGCAAUUUUAUUUUUGCAAUAUGUUUCCUUAUAUACUUUUCUGAAGUCAAAGUUGUUUACACCAGAUCAACGUACUUAAGUUACAGUAAGCAAGUUACACCCACUAAGUUACGCCCAGUAAGUAAAUUAAUCCCAUUAAGUAGGUUACGCCCAGUAAGUAGGUUCCUUUCAGUAAGUAGGUUGCUUUCAGUAAUUAGGUUACCCCCAAUAGAUCAAUGUAAGUAAGUUACAGUCACGCCCAGUAAGCUAUGAGAAGUAAGUUACAGUUACACCCAGUAAGUUACGGUAAGUAAGUUACCAAGUGUAAAUACUUAAGUUAAUAUUUUACAAUGAAGGUAACAAGGGUCCAAAAUGAACACAAUCAACCAAUAAACCAUAAGAAGCCGAAAAUGGACAUAUUGACUCCCAAGUCCUCAUAUUCAUAAAGUAAUGUCUGUUAACUAUUUAGAAUAACAUAGUCCUUCUCUCAGUUCCUGCUUUCCCUCAGCUCGACUCCCCCAACCGGGGAUCUGUGUCCGGGCUCAAGCUCACCGUAUGGCAAGGCCCAUUUCCUAGGGGCCUCACACGGGAACAAUCCCCACAGAUUCCCUCAAUGUGUGAAGCAGUGGGGGUGGAGAACAGUCAUAGAGUCUUCCACCAGGUGGCAGGUCCAUCCUCGUUAAGUAAGGUAAGAGGAAUUGUUUCUACUAGUGAGAGAGCUUGGCAGAGUUAAGGGUCAAGGGGCUUCAAAAUUAACUGAGUUCCCCUAAUUGUCACCAUUCUAAUCUUACAGAAUGGUCUUUCCUAACAUUGCCCAACUUUCACAUAUGAAAUCGGGUGAGGCUAUGAAUUCAAUCUGCGUUGUGAAUCAGCGACCAAUAAGCAUUCCAUCAUUAAGGCUGAACCAUGAAGCCGACAGCCUAAGGAAGGAGAGAGAGAAACUGCCCAAAACCAAUAAGUUCAUUGCAAAAAGGAAGAUGUGCUAUAAUGGGGGAUCCUUCCAGACAGGAGGAGGAAAUAGCAUUUCAGGGAGAAGGAAGAGGCUAGGAGCCUGGACAAAGGCCUCUUUGCUGAAGGUGGUGGCAAAGCGCUCUGCUAUCACCAGCAGCAGCAGUCAGCUUCUUGGGGCAACCAGACCCACCUUGCUGCAGACGGGACCAGCGAAGACUGAAGGGUGGUGUUAAGAAACUCCCCUCUUGCCCCUUCUUCCCCUCCAGUCCCGCUCUUGAUCACUCAGAUGUGUGCACUUUACCCUUGUGUCCAGAUGCCAGUUGAAAAGAAAGAUAAGAACAGAAGAAUGGGGAAGAAAACUCUGAAUAACUAUUUUUCUUAAAGCAACCACACUCUGAACGGAACAGUGAAUGAGAUAAUAUUUAAAUUGAGCUGAAAAGACAUCUAUGAAAUUGAACCCAAUAUCGUGGCUUGGGAGAGAGUCAGCAGAGGACCUGGAGGACAAAGUUGAAUUUAGUUACAGUCCAGUUAUGGGAACUGAAACGUAAUGACUUUUUACCUUCCCCACAGAAACAAUUAAGAUCAUUAUCGCUGGUGGCUAGUGCUAUCUAUAGCAAGGAGAUGGACGGGCUGCUGUGACAGACAGGACCAAGGAAGCCCAUUUCAAGUCAAGUCACAGCCAGGGAGGGCCCCUUGGAGGAGGUGACCCUUGGCUGAGCCUCCAAUGAUAAGAAGUAGGCUAGAGGGGAGCCAAGGUGAGAGAGUUCUGGGGAGGGGAAUUGGUGUUGGGAGAUUGCACAGGAAUGACAGUGGCAAUAGGAUGCAAUGAUCCAGGAGAGGGCAUCAGAACCUUCACAGUCUUCCGACAUUAUUAUAACCCGGCACUGCUUCACAUUUUUGAAUGAUUCCUCAUUAUGUUCUAAAAUAAAGUUCAGAUUCAUCA